rfam:Stegodyphus mimosarum contig3378, whole genome shotgun sequence.
GCCUUCGUGUUGUAGUGGUCAACACGGUCGACGCGUAUUCGAGAGGUCCGUGGUUCGAGUCCCGGCGAGGGCC